CGGGAGCGGCGGGAGCGGCGGCGGGGGCUGGGGCGCGUCGGCCCCGCAGCUGCGGCUCGUUGCGCUCCGCUCGGCCCCGCUCCGCCCGGCCCGGUCCAGCCCAGCCCGGCCCGGCCGUUAACAGCGGCGCCGUCCCGGGACGCCGCAUGUGAACCGGGAGGGCAGCGCCGCACCGCCCCGCACCGCCCCCGCGCACCGGCACCUCACCGGCACCCCGGCUCGGCCCUGCGGAGCUCCGGAGCAGCCGGCACCACCCCCUGCCCCGGCACCCCACCAUGAGCAACCUCAACAAGGACACCGAGCACACCAACAGCGGCGGCAACGUCGAGGAGGAGGUACGGACGCUGUUUGUCAGUGGCCUUCCUGUGGAUAUCAAGCCCAGAGAGCUUUACCUACUCUUCCGACCAUUCAAGGGUUAUGAAGGGUCACUGAUCAAGCUGACUUCAAAGCAGCCAGUUGGUUUUGUGACCUUUGACAGCCGGGCUGGUGCUGAAGCAGCGAAGAACGCCUUGAAUGGCAUCCGCUUCGACCCUGAGAACCCCCAGACCUUGCGGUUAGAGUUCGCUAAAGCCAACACAAAGAUGGCCAAGAGCAAGCUGAUGGCCACACCGAACCCCACCAAUAUCCACCCUGCCUUGGGUGCACACUUCAUUGCACGGGACCCCUAUGACCUGACUGGAGCGGCUCUGAUCCCAGCGUCCCCUGAGGCGUGGGCUCCCUACCCCCUGUACACCACGGAGCUCACCCCUGCCAUCCCCCACGCCGCCUUCACGUACCCGGCGGCCGCUGCUGCGGCUGCUGCUCUUCACGCUCAGUGAACUCCAGCCAUGAUGCCAGCGCAGGCUAGCCCUGAAGCUCAGAGCUGUCCCUGGACAUGGGACGCCCUAGUGAUGCCUUAUUGCAGCUAGUGGAGUGGCUGUACCACAGCUCCAUUCCUAGAAGUGUUAAGCAUGAUGGCAGCCACAUCUGGAAAGACUGAUGCGCUGGUAUCCUCCCUCUGAAGCUACCCAGCAAGGAUGGAAGUCUCGUCAGUUUUGUUAGUUCGUUAUGUCUCUCCUCGACUCGUGUUCCUCCCCCCUGCCUCUCCGCGGAGGGACGUGCCAGGGACGAUCGCUCCGACUCCUCUCGGUUUGGUUUGCGGCCAGCGGACAAGGCGCCCGGCCCCGCCGCCCUCCCCCCGGACUGUGGGGUACCCCCUUCCCCGGACUGUGAAGCCGCCGCGGCCCCAGCCGUGGGGCUGUGCGCCGCCUCCAUCCCCCUCUCCCUCCAUCCUUCCCCCGUCCAUCCCCAGGACAUCCUCCCUGACCGAGCUUCGCCGGCCGGCUGCGCCGAAACCCAGCCGGGGGGGCUCGGUCCUGGGCUUCCCCGGGCUCGCCCUGCCCUGGGGGGCGGCUCGGCUGAAGGAAUCGAAAGGCAAAAUGGGUUUUGCAUGUUUUCUGGCAUGAAUUAAAACACUUAACUUGUG